ACCUCUAGCAUUACCAGUAUUAGAGGCACUGCCUGCCCAGUGACAUGCGUUUAACGGCCGCGGUAUCCUGACCGUGCAAAGGUAGCAUAAUCAUUUGUUCCUUAAAUAGGGACUUGUAUGAAUGGCCCCACGAGGGUUAAACUGUCUCUUACUUUUAAUCAGUGAACUUGACCUUCCCGUGAAGAGGCGGGAAUAAUACAAUAAGACGAGAAGACCCUAUGGAGCUUAAAUCUACUUAGCUUAAGCAUACCCUAUUCUCUUCCCCACAGGGACUAAUAACUCUGCCUUAAUUAAGCUUAAGAUUUUGGUUGGGGUGACCUCGGAGCAUAAAUCAACCUCCGAAUGAUUUUAGCCUAGACUCGACCAGUCCAAGCAGCUACUCAUUAAUUGACCCAAACUUAUUGAUCAACGGAACAAGUUACCCUAGGGAUAACAGCGCAAUCCUACUUAAGAGUCCUUAUCGACAGUAGGGUUUACGACCUCGAUGUUGGAUCAGGACAUCCAAGUGGUGUAACCGCUACUAAUGGUUCGUUUGUUCAACGAUUAAAGUCC
rnacentral:rRNA from 1 species